CCACACACUCCGAGAGAGCCUGGGCAGACAGGCGAGAGAAAACAGAGGGGCCCCGAGCACAUACGUGUAACACACACACACUGAUGCGCCGGUUUCCACGGAGGGAAGGAAAUUCAGGGCACGGGAGCCAGAGCACGGCGAGUGUGCAAAACACAUCCACACCAAACGAGGAAGCCAUUUUUCUACUUUUAUUCCCACAAAUUAGCCCGGUUGUAGAGUUUGGCCGGAGGCUGUGCGCCUGAAACCAGCUUCUUCGGGCACUUUUGCCCGCAAUCGGCUCUUUGCAUCCUUGCGCUCCCAGGAGCCCGGCUGCGGGGCGCGGGCAGAGGGGUGGGCAGCCGCGGGUUGAGAGCCUCAAAAGGAAGGGAAGACUCUUCUUGUUAACCCCAGAGAACACAGCUGCUGGAAAAACCUGCUAAGCAAACCUUCGGUGAAACCACGGCUUUGCUGUCUGCUCUGAAUUCCUGGGAGUUUCGGGCUCUCCGGCAGAAUUUGCGAUUUGACUCGAAACGCAGCCCGGUGCCCUGUUCCCUUUGAUGCUUUAUCUCGCGAUUUCCACAGUGCUCAAGUGAAUUAGGAGCUAAAAGCCCAUUUUGAAAAAGUGAGGGGAGGCUAAAUUCAGCGAGAGAGUUGGGCAGAGCAGUAGCAGCCUCCUGCUGCUCAGGAUUGUGCCUGGGAACACAGCCCUCAGCCAGCAGAAGCAAAGCAGGGAGCUGCCGAGCCUUGCCCAUUGUAAAGGCCGGUCGGGGGGGGAGGGGGGGCAACCUGCUCUCAGCUCCUCACCAGCUUAAAGCCAGGUUCAUCAUUUGACCUGCGUCCCCUCACAUCAGCCGUUCCUCCCAAAGGGCUGGAAACUGAAAGGUGUGCUGAGCAAAGCGGCCAGACACCCACAGAAGAAGGGGCGCUGACCCCCUGGUGCCUCUCCGUUUCAGACACGGAGGUGGCCAGAGACAGCAAGAAAAAGCGGCCGCCUAAAGAGCCUCGUGGUCAGGACACUCCUCGGAGCCGCAGGGCAAUCCAAAUUAAAUCCAGCAGAGCAGUGACUGGGAAAGAUCUUUUAUUGCUUGAAGCUGGCCCUGCUUCCCACCCAGCCAGGAUCAGAGGGAGAACAGGAAGGGGAGCUACUUGGAGUCGGUCCCCCUCGGGACACCAGGAAUGUGCAGCAAAGCCACCGUGCAAAGCUCCCCAUUUCAUCUCUGGGCACUGCUGA
rnacentral:lncRNA from 1 species